rnacentral:rRNA from 1 species
GAUGAACGCUGGCGGCGUGCCUAAUACAUGCAAGUCGAGCGUACGGACGAGAAGCUUGCUUCUCUGAUGUUAGCGUCGGACGGGUUAGUAACACGUGGAUAACCUACCUAUAAGACUGGGAUAACUUCGGGAAACCGGAGCUAAUACCGGACAAUAUUUUGAACCGCAUGGUUCAAAAGUAAAAGACGGUCUUGCUGUCACUUAUAGAUUGAUCCGCGCUGCAUUAGCUAGUUGGUAAGGUAACGGCUUACCAAGGCAACGGUGGAUAGCCGACCUGGGAGGGUGAUCGGCCACACUGGAACGGGGACACGGUCCAGACUCCAACGGGAAGCAGAAGUAGGGAAUCAUCCGCAAUGGGCGAAAGCCUGGAGAAGCAACGCCGCGUGAGUGAUGAAGGUCUUCGGAUCGUAAAACUCUGUUAUUAGGGAAGAACAGAUGUGUAAGUAACUGAGCAAAUCUGGACGGUACCUAAUCAGAAAGCCACGGCUAACUACGUG